GAUAAACGCUGGCGGUGUACAUAAGACAUGCAAGUCGAACGUGAGAAGACAGGAAGAUUUAUCUACUUGUUGGACACCGUGGCGGACGGGUGAGUAACACGUAAGCAACCUGCCUAUAAGAGGGGAAUAACAGUGAGAAAUUACUGAUAAUACCGCAUAAGCUGGAGGUAUCGCAUGAUACAUUCAGAAAAGAUUUAUCGCUUAUAGAUGGGCUUGCGUCUGAUUAGCUAGUUGGUGAGAUAACAGCUCACCAAGGCGACGAUCAGUAGCCGGAUUGAGAGGUUGAACGGCCACAUUGGGACUGAGACACGGCCCAGACUCCUACGGGAGGCAGCAGUCGGGAAUAUUGCACAAUGGAGGAAACUCUGAUGCAGUGACACCGCGUAUAGGAAGAAGGUCUUAGGAUUGUAAGCUAUUGUCGUGNGAGAAGAAAA
rnacentral:rRNA from 1 species